rnacentral:rRNA from 1 species
AUUGAACGCUGGCGGCAGGCCUAACACAUGCAAGUCGAGCGGAUGAAGAGAGCUUGCUCUCUGAUUCAGCGGCGGACGGGUGAGUAAUGCCUAGGAAUCUGCCUGGUAGUGGGGGACAACGUUUCGAAAGGAACGCUAAUACCGCAUACGUCCUACGGGAGAAAGCAGGGGGACCUUCGGGCCUUGCGCUAUCAGAUGAGCCUAGGUCGGAUUAGCUAGUUGGUGAGGUAAUGGACUCACCAAGGCGACGAUCCGUAACUGGUCUGGAGAGGAUGAUCAGUCACACUGGAACUGAGACACGGUCCAGACUCCUACGGGAGGCAGCAGUGGGGAAUAUUGGACAAUGGGCGAAAGCCUGAUCCAGCCAUGCCGCGUGAGUGAUGAAGG